rnacentral:rRNA from 1 species
CUACGGGCGGCACCAGUGAGGAAUAUUGCACAAUGGGGGGAACCCUGAUGCAGCAACGCCGCGUGGAGGAUGACGCAUUUCGGUGUGUAAACUCCUUUUAUAUGUCAAGAAAAUGACGGUAGCAUAUGAAUAAGCACCGGCUAACUCCGUGCCAGCGGCCGCGGUAAUACGGAGGGUGCAAGCGCUACUCGGAAUCACUGGGCGUAAAGGACGCGUAGGCGGGUUGGAAAGUCAGGUGUGAAAUCCUACAGCUUAACUGUAGAACUGCACUUGAAACUUCUAAUCUAGAGUAUGGGAGGGGGAGAUGGAAUUAGUGGUGUAGGGGUAAAAUCCGUAGAUAUCACUAGGAAUACCUAAAGCGAAGGCGAUCUCCUGGAACAUUACUGACGCUAAGGCGUGAAAGCGUGGGGAGCAAACAGGAUUAGAUACCCGCGUAGUC